UGCAUGACACUUUUGUAGCCAGCAUUGCAAGGUAUUUAUGUGCCAGAAAUGCUAAACAUUCAUAAACCCAUUCAUGCUUUAGCCACAGUGCCAGAGGACAUGCUUCCAUGCUGAUGAUGCUUGUUAAAAAUAAUGCUUUAAAU